ensembl:lncRNA
CUUUGACACACUCCUCUUACUGAUACUACACAUAGACACACAAAAACACACGCAAGCACUCAGACACACAGAGAAAAAACAGCCAGACACACAGAGAAAAAAUUGCCCGACACACAAACACAGUCCUCAUGUGACACCAAACAGAGGAGGAUUUGGUAUGGGAAAGAAUCGGUGAGUACUCACCUCAGGCUCCCCCUGUGCUCCGCGGCUCCACUGCAGAAUGGGUUGGUUACGCCGUACACACACUCACACUAAAACACUCCGGCUGUGUGUGAAGACAAUGAGACCGGGCAAGUGAGGGAGCAGCAGGCAAAGAGAAAAAGAAGGGAGGUGUGAGGAGGGGGGAUUGGAAAGAGUGAUAGAGAGAGAGAGAGAGAAGGGGUUGUAUGGAAGAUAUAUGGUGUUCUUAUAGCCUAUGUGGAGAGAUGGAGAGAUGGAGGAGAGGAGAGAUGGAGGAGAGACAUAGGAGUAGAGAGAUGGAGGAGAGAAGAGAUGGAGGACAGAAGAGAUGGAGGACAGAAGAGAUGGAGUAGAGGAGAGAUUGAGUAGAGGAGAGAUGGAGUAGAGGAGAGAUUGAGGGGAGAUAUAGGAGUGGAGAGAUAUAGGAGUGGAGAGAUGGAGGAGUGGAGAGAUGGAGGAGUGGAGAGAUGGAGGAGUGGAGAGAUUGAGGAGAGAUGGAGGAGAGAUGGAGUAGAGGAUAGAUGGAGGAGAGGAGAGAUGGAGGAGAGGAGAGAUGGAGGAGAGGAGAGAUGGAGGAGAGGAGAGAUUGAGUAGAGGAGAGAUUGAGUAGAGGAGAGAUUGAGGAGAGAUGGAAUAGAGGAGAGAUGGGGGAGAGGAGAGAUGGAGUAGAGGAGAGAUUGAGGAGAGGAGAGAUUGGGGGAGAGGAGAGAUUGAGGAGAGAUGGAGGAGAGGAGAGAUGGAGGAGAGUGGAGAGAUGGAGGAGAGUGAAGAGAUGGAGGAGAGUGAAGAGAUGGAGGAGAGAUGGAGGAGAGUGAAGAGAUGGAGAAGAGAUGGAGGAGAGUGAAGAGAUGGAGGAGAGUGAAGAGAUGGAGGAGAGUGAAGAGAUGGAGGAGAGAUGGAGGAGAGUGAAGAGAUGGAGGAGAGUGAAGAGAUGGAGGAGAGAUGGAGGAGAGUGAAGAGAUGGAGGAGAGAUGGAGGAGAGUGAAGAGGGCAAAGAGGGAAAAAAUAAAUGGGUGCUAAAAACAAAAAAUCCUGAAAAAAAGGGUCCCAGACGAAGCCAGGUUUCUCUCAUUCUGUUCUUUUGUGUGUGAGUGAGUGUGUGAGUGAGUGUGUGCGUGUGUGUGUGCGUGUGCGUGUGUGUGUGUGCGUGUGUGUGUGCGUGUGCGUGUGUGUGUGUGUGCGUGUGUGUGUGUGUGUGUGUGUGUGUGUGUGUGUGUAUUUGGCACUUUGCCCUAAGAGAGAGACAGACCAGAAAGCAAAGAGGUUGAAGGGGCUGACAGUAUGAGAAUUUGUUUGUUCGUCAAUUGACUUCUGUCUUGUGCAUUCUUCUCAGUCUGGGUGACUUGCUGAUGUUGUGAAGGGGCCGAUGUCUUUUCUCCUCGUCUCUUCUCUCCUCUUCUCUGUCUUGUCGUUUAUUUGCUCACUCUGUCCAUCCACAUCACUGGUUGGGCUUCAAGUGAAAGCAGUACUUUCCUUCUUUUCUCCCCUCACACCCCUUCUCAGGGAAAUACUUCUACCGGAUUAGUGCUCUACUGUACUACCUUUUUCUCUCACUCCCUCUUUCCUUUUCUCAUUUUUCUGUCAUGCCCAGUUCACACUAGUGUGGUACACCCCCACCCAAAGCCCCUAGGGAUAAGUCAGAGACACACUCAUCCACACACACACUCGCACACAACCAGGUGUGUGAAGGAUUGGGAGAGCUCACAGAAAAGCCAAUCUCCACUCCCAAUUAUUCUGCUCUCAAGUCGCCGGAUGGAGAGAAGGAGAGAGAGAGAGCGAAGGAAGGAGAGAAAAUCUCUUUGAGUGUCUGCACAGAGGGGAAUUAAUUAGAAUGGAAAGAAAGAUAGAGUGGGUCUCUCUCGUUCCUCUGCUGGAGUCCUGAGAAUACUCCACAAUUAGCCAGAGUCCCAAACACAGCCUGCAGGGCUGGAGACAGGAGAGAGGGAAGGAGGGAAAAGAGAUAGAGAAAGAGAGGGAAAGAGAUUAAACCGAAAUGAAAAAUGCCAAAGGGACAUUUAGAAGCAGAAGUUGUUAGGAAAUGAUUUGAGUUUUUAUAUAUAUACCCGUCACACGGACUGGCUGUCCGGAGUGCAAUUCCUUUUUUCUCUCUUCUCUAUUCGUCUUUUUCUUUUCUCCUCCACUCCUCCAUACGUCCAUGGGGCUCUGGAUAAUCCAUAGAGGAAACUGGAACGUUUGGAGUAUCUUAAAUGGACAGAGUUCACUCUUCCUCUCUUUCUCCACUCUUUUUCCUCUCCUCUACCUCUUCCAGCUUGUUGGCUGAUCAUUUUCUUGACCACGGUGGUGACACAGAGUGUGUGGGUUAGAAGGGCGUGGGGGCUGGAGAGAAAAAAAGAAGGAUGGCUGGAUGGAUGGAGUGAGAGGGAAUAAGAUACAGGUGGAGUGAUGACACUGGGAGAAAUAGGAGCGAUGGAGGCAGGUGGAAGGGAUGAAGUGCAGCAGUCUGUGUGUGUGUGUGUGGAGGGGGGAUCCUUUCCC